UCUAUUAUGGCAGAAUAAUUGCAAUGGAUUUAAACCCCAAAAAUGAAAAUUUUAAUUUUCUUUUAGAA
rnacentral:tRNA from 1 species